rnacentral:rRNA from 1 species
UACGUAGGGACCGAGCGUUGUCCGGAUUCAUUGGGCGUAAAGAGCUCGUAGGCGGCCACUCAAGUCGAAUGUGAAACCUCGAGGCUUAACCUCGAGCCUGCAUUCGAUACUGGGCGGCUAGAGUCUGGUAGGGGGAUCUGGAAUUCCUGGUGUAGCGGUGAAAUGCGCAGAUAUCAGGAGGAACACCGGUGGCGAAGGCGGGUCUCUGGGCCGUAACUGACGCUGAGGAGCGAAAGCAUGGGGAGCGAACAGG